rnacentral:tRNA from 1 species
GGGGAUGUAGCUCAGUUGGGAGAGCGUCGCGUUCGCAAUGCGAAGGUCGAGAGUUCGAUCCUCUUCAUCUCCACCA